GAUAGUUUACUGAGAAUGCUGCAUCUGGGGUUGGCAUCAUUUCCCUUUUGAAUGACAGAAUGUGCAUAAAAGUCUCUUGCCCGCACUGAACUCACACGUGCCCGGCAGGAAGGAGCUCUCACGAAGUGCCAGCUGGAUGUGAGCUUGCUCUGGCAGCAGCAGUGCGGUCCUUGUUUCUGAGCUGCCAGUUAG
rnacentral:antisense_RNA from 1 species